UACGAAGGGGGCUAGCGUUGCUCGGAAUCACUGGGCGUAAAGGGUGCGUAGGCGGGUUUUAAGUCAGAGGUGAAAUCCUGGAGCUCAACUCCAGAACUGCCUUUGAUACUGAGAAUCUUGAGUUCGGGAGAGGUGAGUGGAACUGCGAGUGUAGAGGUGAAAUUCGAUAGAUAUUCGGAAGAACACCAGUGGCGAAGGCGGCUCACUGGACCGGCAUUGACGCUGAG
rnacentral:rRNA from 1 species